GAUUUACGAGCCCAAGCUUAAAACCCAAAGGACUUGACGGUGUCCUAUCCCCCCUAGAGGAGCCUGUUCUAUAAUCGAUUCCCCCCGAUCUCCCUCACCACUUCUUGACCCACCACCCAGCCUGUAUACCUCCGUCGCAAGCUUACCGUGUGAGCGCACCCAGUGAGCUAAAAGAUAUUUCACCCAUACGUCAGGUCAAGGUGCAGCCUACGAAGCGGAAAGAAAUGGGCUACAAUCUCUACUUUAGAACAAACGGAAAACUGUGUAAAACACAGUUACUGAAGGCGGAUUUAGUAGUAAAAAGAAAAUAGAGUGUUCUUUUUAACCAGGCACUGGGACGCGUACACACCGCCCGUCACCCUCUUCAAACAAAUCAAAAAGUUACUAACACCACUUAAUCAUACAGAAGAGGCAAGUCGUAACAUGGUAAGCGUACUGGAAAGUGCACUUGGAACAAAAUGUAGCUUAACUAAAAGCAUCUUGCUUACACCAAGAAUAUGCCUGCAAAACCCUGACCAUUUUGAGCUUAACUUACAGCCCCCCCCCAUAAUAUAAUCUUCUUUUCCCAUAAUAAACUAACUAAAACAUUUUCUUAGUCAAGUAAAGGCGAUCAAAAAACUUCUAGGAGCCCCAACAACAGUACCGCAAGGG
rnacentral:rRNA from 1 species